rnacentral:lncRNA from 1 species
GAAGUGUUUUGCUGCUAGAGGUCAGAAGAGCGUGGAGCCUGUUAGUGCCGGAGCCUGGUCUACAGCAGGAGUCUUGCUGAGAUGGCCUGGAAGUCUCCUUUGGUGUGUUCGUGUGCAAAAUUUCCAGCAAGUACAGCCUCCUCCUGUCUUCUCGGUAAAAAUAUCUCUGCGAUGAAAUGGAACACAAUGCAAGUUCAGUAGCAGACUGCGGACAAGUGACAUAAAACUGGGAUACGAUGCUGGACAAGCGUUUGGCAAGUUCCGGGAGUUUGUUAUAGUAGGGUUUUGGUAACCACAGACGUCAUUGUCCUGUGUUUAUGGUUGUCUCCUUAGCAUUACAACAUAGAUAUUCACCAGGGGUGAGCUAUUCCCAGCCAGUUUUUCUAUUUCUGUUCAGCUUUUUACAAUUGCUUUUUAUUAGUUAUUCUUUCAGGAUGUCUUGGAGAGCAGCCCCAUAAAAAUUAUUAGUGCCAGCCAUUCGG